AUGAUCAGACAUCAUUGCUUUAUGAAGACUGCUGAAGAAAAAUUACAAGAGGAACUUCUUGGACUCCAUCUGGUUGAAUGCUUUUUUCCCAUUCACACCCUUCCAGUUGAUCCUCCUCCCAACGUCAUCAUGGAACAUGCAGGGAAGGAUGUUCCAUGUGACACGUUUUGUGUCAUGGCCCCCAACAGUUGCAAGGGAAGAAAUCUAAAAUGUAACAAAAAUCCUGUCAAUUUCUUAUAUAUUAAAGGGUUAGUUCACCCAAAAAUGAAAAUUCUGUCAUUAAUUACUCACCCUCAUGUUGUUCUACACCCGUAAGGCCUUCAUUCAACUUCGGAACACAAAUUAAGAUAUUUUGAUUAAAUCCGAUGGCAUAGUGAGGCCUGCAUUCAAAGCAAUGACAUUUCCUCUCUCAAGAUCCAUAAAGGUACUAAAAACAUAUUUAAUGUGAGUUCAGUGGUUCUACCUAAAUAUUAUAAAAGCAACGAGAAUUAUUGUGCACCAAAAAACAAAACGACUUUUCAACAAUAUAGUGAUGGGCUAAUUUCAAAACACUGCUUCGGAUCUUUACCAAUUGAAUCAGUAACUCGGAUCUCCUAUCAAACGGCUAAACUGCUGAAAUCACGUGACAUUGGUGCUCCGAGUCACUGAUUCGAUUCGUAAAGCUCCGAAGCUGUGUUUUGAAAUCGGCCCAUCACUAUAUUGUAGGAAAGUCAUUAUUUUGUUUUUUUGCCGCACAAAAAGUGUUCUUGUCGCUUUAUAAUAUUAAGAUUGAACCACUGAACUAACAUGAACUGUUUUAAAUAUGUUUUUAGUACCUUUAUAGAUCUUGAGAGAGGAAAUGUCAUUUCUUUUAAUGCAGGCCUCACUGAGCCAUAGGAUUUAAUCAAAAUAUCUUAAUUUGUGUUCGAAGAUCAACCAAGGUCUUACGGGUGUAGAACGCCAUAAGGGGGAUAAAUGAAUGACAUUUUCAUUUUUGGGUGAACUAACACUUUAACAGAGGGAAAUAAAUGUCCCCUGUGCCAUAUAUUUGAUGUUUAG
ensembl:lncRNA